AACUUAGUUGGUAAAGCGCUCGUCUAGCAUACAAGAGUUCUGGGUUCAAAUCCCAG
rnacentral:tRNA from 1 species